rnacentral:SRP_RNA from 1 species
GCCAGGUGCGGUGGCUCACGCCUGUAAUCCCAGCACUUUGGGAGGCCGAGGCGGGCGGAUCACGAGGUCAGGAGUUCGAGACCAGCCUGGCCAACGUGGCGAAACCCCGUCUCUACUAAAAAUAGAAAAAUCAGGCCGGGNCCCGGCCUGAUUUUUCUAUUUUUAGUAGAGACGGGGUUUCGCCAUGUUGGCCAGGCUGGUCUCGAACUCCUGACCCCGCGAUCCACCUCCCUCGGC